AUCUUUCCACCCGCGUCUGGUGCUCAUGCGCGGCUCGUCGAGGCCCGCAUAGUCAAACGGGAAACAGGAGCACAAUAGCCCCAGGGCCAAGUGCCAAUCUGUGCUGUCCCCGCAACGGUACGCGACCAGCGGCUCAACCUGCCGCGCAUUCUUUUCACGGCCACUGCGAGGCAACGAGCGGGAAGGCGAACGGAGUGAGGUCGCAAGCCCGGAUACCGGCCAGCGCAAGUGGCAGGCA
rnacentral:ncRNA from 2 species